rnacentral:rRNA from 1 species
GACGAACGCUGGCGGCGUGCUUAACACAUGCAAGUCGAACGGAAAGGCCCUGCUUUUGUGGGGUGCUCGAGUGGCGAACGGGUGAGUAACACGUGAGUGACCUGCCCUUGACUUUGGGAUAACUUCAGGAAACUGGGGCUAAUACCGGAUAGGAGCUCCUACUGCAUGGUGGGGGUGGGAAAGUUUCGGCGGGUGGGGAUGGGCUCGCGGCUUAUCAGCUUGUUGGUGGGGUAGUGGCUUACCAAGGCUUUGACGGGUAGCCGGCCUGAGAGGGUGACCGGCCACAUUGGGACUGAGAUACGGACCAGACUCCUACGGGAGGCAGCAGUGGGGAAUAUUGCACAAUGGGCGGAAGCCUGAUGCAGCAACGCCGCGUGCGGGAUGACGGCCUUCGGGGUGUAAACCGCUUUCGCCUGUGACGAAGCGUGAGUGACGGUAAUGGGUAAAGAAGCACCGGCUAACUACGUG